rnacentral:lncRNA from 1 species
AGGGACGCAGCAGUGAGGGUAAACCAGCCGAUGCCUUGGUCUUCACGGGACCCUCUGAAGGAGAAUGAAGAAAUCCAGAAGCAGUGGCCACACAGCCUCUCCAGAACCACAGCGGGGCUGCACUGGGACCCAUGCUGGGUCUCUGCCUGACCCUGGGCUUUUCAGAGAGCCCACAAAGGCUUUUCUCCAGGAACACCCUCCCUGUUCCAGACCACACGGCAGGUGUCAUGGGUUCCAUAUUCUUCUGUGAUGGAGACAUGUUCACUUUCUUGGGCCCUGACUCAGCCCAUCUCCUCUCCACUGCCCCAACCCCACUUCCAGAGUCCUUCACCCUCUUCAGGGUUUCUGAGAGUCUCGGUGAACUCACACACCCAGGCACUGAAGAAGACGAGGCUGCGGAGAGAAGUCUAGUCCCUCCGGAGAGGCCGAGUGAUCUAUGGGAAUGGCUCAUCACAGGCUGGAGUGCCCACAAUUCUCUCUCUCCUUAAUUUAAAGAAAUAUAGAGGAGCAUGUUUGAAGGAGCAUAAAAAAAUUAUAAUGCGAACUCACCGACUCACUCUUUCAACAAAAAUGU